rnacentral:rRNA from 1 species
CCUACGGAUGGCAGCAGUGGGGGAUAUUGCACAAUGGGGGGAACCCUGAUGCAGCGACGCCGCGUGGGUGAAGAAGCGCCUCGGCGCGUAAAGCCCUGUCAGCAGGGAAGAAAAUGACGGUACCUGAAGAAGAAGCCCCGGCUAACUACGUGCCAGCAGCCGCGGGAAUACGUAGGGGGCAAGCGUUAUCCGGAUUUACUGGGUGUAAAGGGGGCGCAGACGGCGAUGAAAGCCAGGAGUGAAAGCCCGGGGCCCAACCCCGGGACUGCUCUUGGAACUGCGUGGCUGGAGUGCAGGAGGGGCAGGCGGAAUUCCUGGUGUAGCGGUGAAAUGCGUAGAUAUCAGGAGGAACACCGGUGGCGAAGGCGGCCUGCUGGACUGCAACUGACGUUGAGGCCCGAAAGCGUGGGGAGCAAACAGGAUUAGAUACCCUUGUAGUC